GUCUUUUUGAUUAUAAUUUAAAGUCUAACCUGCCCACUGAAUUUUUUGAAGGGCCGCGGUAUUUUGACUGUGCAAAGGUAGCAUAAUCAUUAGUCUUUUAAUUGAAGGCUUGUAUGAAUGGUUGGAUGAGGUAAUAACUGUCUCAAAUUAAUAAAUAAUAAAAUUUUAUUUUUAAGUUAAAAAGCUUAAAUAUAAUUAGAGGACGAGAAGACCCUAUAGAUCUUUAUAAAUUAAUAAAUUUUAAUUUUUUAGUUAAAAUAUGUUUUUAUCUGUUAAUUUAUUUUAUUGGGGUGAUAAAAAAAUUUAAAAAACUUUUUUUUUAAUUAAACAAUGAUUUUUGAUUAAUUGAUCCAUUAUUAGUGAUUAAAAGAAUAAGUUACCUUAGGGAUAACAGCGUAAUUUUUUUGAAGAGUUCAUAUCGAUAAAAAAGAUUGCGACCUCGAUGUUGAAUUAAAGGUUAAUUUUAGGUGUAGAAGUUUAAAGUUUUGGUCUGUUCGACCAUUAAAUC
rnacentral:rRNA from 1 species